AAUGAACGCUGGCGGCGUGCCUAACACAUGCAAGUCGAACGAGAAAGCCCAGCUUGCUGGGCAAGUAAAGUGGCGCACGGGUGAGUAACGCGUGGGUAAUCUACCUUUGUCUGGGGGAUAACCUACCGAAAGGUGGGCUAAUACCGCAUAACGUGGUCGAAUUGCGAUUUGAUCACCAAAGAAGGCCUCUCCUUGGAAGCUUUCGGGUAAAGAUGAGCUCGCGUCCCAUUAGCUAGUUGGUAGGGUAAUGGCCUACCAAGGCUACGAUGGGUAGCUGGUCUGAGAGGAUGGCCAGCCACACUGGAACUGGAACACGGUCCAGACUCCUACGGGAGGCUG
rnacentral:rRNA from 1 species